UCAACUUGAGAGUUUGAUCCUGGCUCAGAACGAACGCUGGCGGCAGGCCUAACACAUGCAAGUCGAGCGCGCCUUCGGGUGAGCGGCGGACGGGUUAGUAACGCGUGGGAACGUGCCCUUCUCUACGGAAUAGCCUCUGGAAACGGAGAGUAAUACCGUAUACGCCCUUUGGGGGAAAGAUUUAUCGGAGAAGGAUCGGCCCGCGUUAGAUUAGGUAGUUGGUGGGGUAACGGCCUACCAAGCCUACGAUCUAUAGCUGGU
rnacentral:rRNA from 1 species